ensembl:lncRNA
AACAGAGAUAAUUUGUCUGCUGCACUGGGCUCUGGUGACUGGGUGGCUUGUAGACUAGGCCCACGGCCUUUCACCUCAUCCUGCUCUUGCCUGCUGGUUCUCCCAGCCAUGCCGAUUAGAAGCGAGAGAAAUUAAGAUCUCCCCCUCGCCUCCCACCGCCAUAGGCUGCAGGAGAGUAUGAGAGAGUGUCCUAUCCAGCUAAGAACAGGGUCUCGCCAGGACCCUGGGCCUGAACAGAUUUAUGUAAGAAGAAAGGCAACGUAGAUUUGGCAGAGCCAGUCUCCCUAACGGCAAUCUGCUAGUUUGGAAGAAUUUGUUCAAAGCAAGGAACUUCUGCCCACAGUCAUCCCUUCCAUCUCUCCACUUCUACCCUUGGGCCUAAGACUUCACUGCCUCAGCUGUUGAGGAGUAGACUUCUCUUGACAUCAUUAAUGUGCCCAAGAUGCCCUGUUUGCACAUAUUUGUGUGCCUUCCAAUUAAAAUGAUUCAUUAAACCUCUGGUGGAGUUCAUUUUUAUUCUGCAAUAAGAACACUCAAAUAAAUACAUUCAGCCAUGGAAAGAAUCCUUUGAGCAAGCCCAUGUCCUAAUUUUGGUUUGGGGAAUCUAGUCCUGAAGUUGUCAUCUGGGAAUGUGCUGAAGAGACUGGAGGCCAGUUUUGCAAGGGAGCUGAGCAGGCCGACCUGACUCUGGCUACUUGGAGUGGGGCUGAGCAGCUUGGCUCUGUCCGGCCCUGGGGACAGCAUGGCAGCUCCUGAGGACUCCGCAGGCCCUGCAGCCCUGUGGCCCAGAAGCAGGGGCUCCCUCUCUCCUUUGGGAGAUCGUUGUGGAAUGUAGUUAACAUCAGCCUCAGCAAACACCACACUCCGCAUACCGUGAUGCUGCCUGGGGACAACCCGCAGCUAUAGUUUCCAUCCUGAGUGACUGGGAAGUAGCAUGUGUCACUCCCAACCGUGGGUCUCCACAGAGGAGGCCAAGUGGCUACUGGAUGCACCUGGAUGGGGCUCACGCCCAGUCUGUUCCGGGCUCUGUGACCUGAUGAUUUGGGGGUCCUUGAUGCCCCUCUGAGUUGCAGUUGUUUUCCAGUGGAAGACAUCUCUCAGAAACCUACCAUGCUACCCAAUUUGUAUUUCUAAGUCUUGCCAGCAAUCCCACUCAUUCCUGUUUUACAGACAAGGAGAUUGUUGCUCAGAGAGAUUCAUUGACUUGACC